AGACUUAAAGGUGAGGCUGAAGUUAAGUGGACUAAAACCAAAUGGGUUACCAGUAAUAAUGAUAGACAAUCCCGUACUUUCACUUAUGAACAAGUAUUGAAUUUUUUGACACAACAUUUUGAUGUCAUUCAAUCAGCCAAAGAGACAAUAGUACAAAAAAGUGUCCAUCAAAUACCAUUUGUGUUUCACAUCCCAGAAGAUAUACCAAACAGUUUUAAAGGAAAUUUCGGUCAAAUUCACUACUGGAUUGAGGCAGAGAUUGAUAAGUCGUGGUUAUCAUUGAAUCACGAAACCCGUACUAAAUUCUACCUGUGCUCACCUCUCAAGGCUACUAAUAAUACACCAGUAAUAUAUAGAAAAUUAAGGAAUUAUUGUUGUUGUUUCAUAAAGAGGGG